UCCUUACUGCUUCCAUUUUUUAGAGGCUGCUUGAAUUCUUCGGCUUAUGGCUAUAUCACUCCAGCCUUUUCUUCCUUUAUCACAUCUCCUCUGACUCUGACCCUCCUGCCUGCUUCUUCUAAGGACCCUUGUGAUGACACUGGGCCCACCUGAAUAAUCCAGGACAGUCUCCCCAUCUCAGGAUCCUUGAGCUAACCACAGUCCCAUUUACCAUGUCAGGGAAGGUUCACAGGUUCCAGGGAUUAGGACAAGGACAUCUUUGGGGGGUGCUGCUGGGUGCCUGAGAGCCUGGGGCAAGGACUGAGAGGGGUGCACAGUGGGCAGGAGCGGCCAGCAGGGUGUGGGGGGGGCUGAUGAGUCAUGGUGCAGACUGGGAGCUGGGCACCUGCUUCUGAAGUCGCUUCUGGAGACAGCACCUCUGCUCCUGCCUGAGCCUGUGAGGACGUGUGCAUCCAGGAGGAUGGCCUGGUGAAGAAACCUCUGCCCCUACCCCCACACAGGAGCCUUCCUCCUGCUGGCUUUGGACAGGGGGAUGGAGAGCUGGGAGCAUUGGUGUCCUUCGAUCUCCAAGACAGGGGGGAGUUUGGCUGUUGGGGGUUGGCAGGCCCCAUAUGCUACGUCUUCCCACUUUUGUGGGGUGUGGCACCCCCGGGUUUUGUGGAGGCCCUGUAGCUGGGUGAAUCCAGGUUCCUCAGCCGAGCCUGUCCCCAACUGUAAAAUGAGAGUGAGACAGGCCCGUCUCACAGGGGCACCUGUCAGGAGGCACCAGUGAGGCAAGUCACGGAAUAUGCCUGGUGUAGAGCGGGAUUGCUUGCGUGUUCAUUUGGCAGGUGUGGCCGAACACCUGCUUGGUGCGAGGCGCUAUUCAAUGCACAGAGUGGAACAGAUGAGGUCCCAGCCCUCUCAGAGCACCCAUUCCACUGGGGGAAGAAGAAAAAGCAACAAGGAGAUAGAGAAUCUUGUCAGCUGCUGGUUAACACUGUGGAGAGAAAUCUAGUGGGAUCAGGAGGACAGGAGUGCUGCUGUGGCUGGGGAGGGGGCACUGUCUGUGUGUGGUAGCACUGUAAAUUAGGUGGUCAGGAAGACCUGGAUGAAAAGGUGACGUUUGAAGAGAGCCCCGAUAGAGGUAAGGGAGCCUGGCCAUGCAGUUAUCUCAGCAGGUGCAAAGGCCCUAGGGUAGGAGUUUGGCAUUUCCUAGGAAGGCAAGGAUAUGAAUGUGGGUAGAGCAGAGUCAGCCAACUUGAAGGAAGGUGGCAGGAGCUGGGGUCAGUUGAGUCUGUUGGGGGUCCAGAUGGUGCAGGGCCUUGUAGGAACUUUGGCUUUGAGUCCAAGGGAAAAGGCAGCUGUGCUAGAGCGGAUAUGAGAAAAUGGCAGCCCCCAAGUCCUAAACACCUCUCUCUGUCCUACCCUCCCUCCCUCCCUCCCAUUCUGCCCUCUCCUCCCCUUUCUGUUGCCCACUGUGUCUGGGGGAAUGGCUGGCCCAUCGAGGCCUACUGAUUAAGCCCAGGGUCCAACCUCCCCAGCAGUCUGGUCUGGGGACUUAACUCAGCCGUCCCUUCCUCUAGCCAGCGUCACGAUAUGGCUUUUGCUAUUUAUACAGCACGGUGAUUUACAGCUCUGCUUCUAGAAUUUCGCAGUCCAUCCCACAGUACAUUAUCUCUCCAGGCAAAUAAUGGUGAUCUUUAUCCAAAUCAAAGGACAGAAAUUAGGGCUGUAGACAGUGUUGUCUGCAUUUGUGCUUCCCACCCAUUAUACUUCCACGUGAACUUUCAGCUCCCGCCGGAAUCUCGUGUAAGGUAGCAUCCUGUUUAGCUCGAUUCCGUAGUCAAUCAUUUUAGGGUUACUGAAUUCAUUGAUGUUUGUUGAAAAACUACCGCGUUGGGGGUUUUCUGCUAGAUGUGAAGUUUGGUGGUGACCAAAGCAGGUACCUUUUCUGCCCUCUCCUAUAUAGUGUUACAGAAAGCAAGAAAACAAACUGAUGAAAUAAUUUCAGAUGUGUUCAGACAUUACCCUUUUCCACCGAUCUUGCCAGGUCAGCUUGGAGGCCCACCUGGUAGAAGCCAUCCUUCCCUUUUGGGCCCUGCCUGUCCACCUUUCUUCUGGAAAAGUCGUUUUUGGUGAAAAAGCCAUGGCAGCGGUGGAGUGUCACUUGCUAGCCUGGGGCCGAGUUCUGAGAAGCAAAAACGGCUUGUGCAGGACCCUGGUGGCACUCAGUGGCCCCAGCCUGGACCAGCCUUUUGUGGUUGGUUGCCACGUCUGCCUCCCCCCUGGGGAGCCAGGAGGGGGUGCAGGUUGAGCUCCAUCUUGACUCUAAUGGAGAAAGAUUCCCCAGUUAAAGACCUCCUGCCCCCUUCCCUCAGUAAAAACCAUCUCCUCUUGCCCUUGCUCCAGAGGCAGGAGUGGCCUGCCGGGUGUGUGCACAUGCCUGUCUAGUUAAGGGCCACCGAUGGGACUUCUGCAGGCUGUGGACAUACUGGGCAGAUCCAAUACUGAAAACUCCAGCCAGGCCCGGGAGAUGCCAGGUGGCUUUUGGAACAAGUGUGAAAUUUAGUCUCCUUCUCCUGCCCCUUAGCUUUUGGGCCGUCUUAGGUUGACUCUUGGCUUCCUUAUUCCUCUGUCCCUUCCUAGGCACGUGCUGUGCUCAGGUUCCUCCUCGUCCCACCCACCCUGCCUGCAGGCAGCCCUUAAUAUCUCGCUUUUCUGUCCGAGGCUUGCUUGGUGGGUUUUGAGCAGCAGUUUCUGCCCUGGGCUGUACGUCAGAAUCGCCUGGGGGCUUAAAAAAAUAUCCCAACUUCUGGGCC